rnacentral:rRNA from 1 species
GACGAACGCUGGCGGCGUGCUUAACACAUGCAAGUCGAACGGAAAGGCCUUUUCGGAGGUACUCGAGUGGCGAACGGGUGAGUAACACGUGGGUGAUCUGCCCUGCACUCUGGGAUAAGCCUGGGAAACUGGGUCUAAUACCGGAUAGGACCGCCCUUUAGUGUGUGUGGUGGAAAGUUUUUUCGGUGUAGGAUGAGCCCGCGGCCUAUCAGCUUGUUGGUGGGGUAAUGGCCUACCAAGGCGGCGACGGGUAGCCGGACUGAGAGGUUGGUCGGCCACAUUGGGACUGAGAUACGGCCCAGACUCCUACGGGAGGCAGCAGUGGGGAAUAUUGCACAAUGGGCGCAAGCCUGAUGCAGCGACGCCGCGUGGGGGAUGACGGCCUUCGGGUUGUAAACUCCUUUCGCCAGGGACGAAGCGUUUUGUGACGGUACCUGGAGAAGAAGCACCGGCUAACUACGUG